UGCAAAAUUUAAAACAAAAUGAUGAGAAACCCAUCCCUCCACAUCUUUUCUCCGUCAGUUAUUAGAGGAUGUGCUCCACCAAAAUGAGCAAGUAAUCCAAGAAAGAAAAAGACAU